rnacentral:rRNA from 1 species
GAAACCGGUGAACGUCAGCUGUUGGGUAAUGACUUAAUCACAGAGGCAGAAGAAAUGUGCAAAGUCAUUCGUGAUAACCUCAAAGCAGCCCAAUCCCGCCAGAAGAGCUACUAUGAUAGUAAGCACCGUGAUUUGGCUUUCGAGAUCGGAGAUCAUGUUUACCUCCGCGUCUCUCCUAUGAAAGGUACUUGUCGCUUCGGUAUCAAAGGGAAGCUUGCCCCUAGAUACGUGGGACCUUUCAAGAUUGUCAGCAAGAGAGGCGACCUCGCCUAUCAACUCGAGCUUCCUUCAAACUUUGCAAAUGUUCAUGAUGUGUUCCAUGUCUCUCAGCUUCGAAAGUGCUUCAAGACU